rnacentral:rRNA from 2 species
UCGCCCUUUUCCGGUUGAUCCUGCCGGACCCGACUGCUAUCGGAUUGGGAUUUAGCCAUGUUAGUUGUGCGUUCCUUGGCUACAGGGGACGCAGCGUACGGCUCAGUAACACGUAGUCAACCUGCCCUGGAGACGCGGAUAACCCCGGGAAACUGGGACCAAUCCGCGAUAGGUCGCCCCAUCUGGAAGGAGGGGCGGCCCAAAGGGGAAUUGUGGGCUUCCACUUUUCUCGCUCUAGGAUGGGACUGCGGCCGAUCAGGCUGUUGGCGGGGUAAUGGCCCACCAAACCUGUAACCGGUACGGGCCUUGAGAGAGGUGGCCCGGAGAUGGACACUGAGACAAGGGUCCAGGUCCUACGGGGCGCAGCAGGCGCGAAACCUUCGCAAUGUGCGAAAGCAUGACGAGGUUAAUCCGAGUGGCUUCCGCUGAGGAAGUCUUUUGCCGACUGUAAAAAGGUCGGAGAAUAAGGGGAGGGCAAGUCUGGUGUCAGCCGCCGCGGUAAUACCAGCUCCUCGAGUGGUCGGGGCGAUUAUUGGGCCUAAAGCAUCCGUAGCCGGUUCCGUAGGUCUCCUGCAAAAUCCAGUCGCUCAACGAUUGGCCCGCAGGAGAUACCGCGGGACUAGGAGGCGGGAGAGGUGGACGGUACUCCACGUGUAGGGGUAAAAUCCUUUGAUCCGUGGAAGACCACCAGUGGCGAAGGCGGUCCACCAGAACGCGCUCGACGGUGAGGGAUGAAAGCUGGGGGAGCGAACCGGAUUAGAUACCCGGGUGGUCCCAGCCGUAAACGAUGCUAGCUAGAUGAUCCGAUCGUAAAUCAUGAUCGGAGUGUCGCAGGGAAGCCGUUAAGCUAGCCGCCUGGGGAGUACGGUCGCAAGACUGAAACUUAAAGGAAUUGGCGGGGGAGCACCACAAGGGGUGAAGCCUGCGGUUCAAUUGGAGUCAACGCCAGGAAACUUACCAGGAGAGACAGCAGAUUGAGGGUCAGACUGAAGAUCUUACCUGACGAGCUGAGAGGAGGUGCAUGGCCGUCGCCAGCUCGUGCCGUGAGGCGUCCUGUUAAGUCAGGCAACGAGCGAGACCCAAAGGGCGAA